CACGUAGGGGACGAGCGUUGUCCGGAUUCAUUGGGCGUAAAGCGCGCGUAGGCGGCUCGGAAAGUCGGGCGUGAAAUGCCGGGGCUCAACCCCGGGACUGCGUCCGAUACUUCCGAGCUGGAGGUAGGUAGGGGAGAUCGGAAUUCCUGGUGUAGCGGUGAAAUGCGCAGAUAUCAGGAGGAACAGCCGGUGGCGCAAAGGGCG
rnacentral:rRNA from 1 species